GAAAAAAAAGAGGAAAUCUUAUGUUUUCUAAGAGACGAGCUCGUUUUUUUUUCUUAACGAAGUGCCAAGAAGGGAAGAAGCUGCUGGACUGAUGUUAACCACCAACUUUGUUACCUGAAUGGUUAAUUUAUUCAGGUUAAUUUGUGACAGACACUUCACAAUGUGACUGUUGUGAAGUCGACCUACUGGACCUGAGACGAAUAUAGAAAGAUUGAUGGGCCACAGAAGGUGCUUCUCCCAAGAUCUUUCUGCCUCAGCGUUUUGCUGAAACACACCAGCCCAGACUUUUCCUGUGACCUUAACACAACGUGGCGCUGUAAAGCUGAGCUGCUUCACAUCGUCUGUUCAGCCAUCUUGCAUCGCUAAUGGCAGCACUCAUAAGAAAAACAGCAACAAUGGCAAGUUGGGAGUUCUGUUCCUAUAAAUACAAGAAAACUCUGAUGUCUGAUAACAAAAACAUGAAAAGAAGCGUCUAAUAUUUGGUGACACAGACUCCUGUUGGUAAUCACAUCACAUCCUAUAGUGGAGGCACAAACAAAAU